UGUAUAGAUGUGGAAGCUUGCAUCGUUUUGGCCACUGUUCUUGACAUCAUUGUGAGAGCUAUCGCCGAGUACAAGCAUUCUUGUUGGUUUGAAAAGUUGACUGAGGAGAAGAGAAACGUGUAUGUAGAGGUUAUUAGAGGUGGUAGAAGAGUCAGGGCUUCUAUCUAUGAUAUUGUUGUCGGCGAUGUUAUACCCCUCAAGAAUGGUUUUCAGGUAAGC